AAGCCCUUACCCACCUCUUUGCU
rnacentral:miRNA from 1 species